rnacentral:misc_RNA from 1 species
GUUUUUUUCAUUUUUAUUUUCCUUUCUUGAUAAAGUCAAGCUCCACUCUCUUUAGGCCUUCUCCUUUCUCUGUGAGCAGGGGAAGGCCCUCCCCUGAACACAGUUUUGGGUUGAUCAUUCCUACUUUUUGUCAGGCAUGUACAACCUUUAAGUGUGGUUUGUUUUGGGCAGAGUGCAGUGCUUCAAAUGAGUGUCUUUUUGUGUAGAUUUGUGAUAUGUCCCUGUUUUGAGUUGGUUAUGGCCGGAUUAAGCAGUUUUUUAAGGUGGUUUCCUGCUGGGGUUAAAAAAGUUGACGGUGGUAAGUCCAAGUUGUUGUCCAGCGCCCCUCCUUUGAGUCGACUCUACUGUCCUUGUGUUGGUGCUUUUAUGUUUCAUUAGUUCAGAAUGCUGAGUCGGCGGAAGGGCUCAUUGCCCUCUCAGGUGACAGAAGGGGUAAUGAUAUGGCUG